UACGUAGGGUCCGAGCGUUUGUCCGGAAUUAUUGGGCGUAAAGGGCUCGUAGGCGGUUUGUCGCGUCGGGAGUGAAAACCUACAGCUUAACUGUGGGCUUGCUUUCGAUACGGGCAGACUUGAGGCAUGCAGGGGGAGAACGGAAUUCCGAGUGUAGCGGUGAAAUGACGUAGAUAUCUGGAGGAACACCGGUGGCGAAGGCGGCAUCCUGGACCAUUACUGACACUGAAAAGCGAAAGCCAGGGGAGCAAACGGG
rnacentral:rRNA from 1 species